ensembl:lncRNA
GACCCACCUGCCCUGAAUGACUGGUUGCCACUGAUCACUAGCAGCACCAUAUAACCAUGUAAAAUUCGGAGUAUGUGUAAAUGUACUUGGCGAAUAGGUCAUUAUCAAAAACGUCAUGAAGACAAUAUUCUAUUUUUUUGCUGGUGGGCAGCUUCAAACUACAUUUCAAUGGAAGCUAAUGUUGCUAGAUAUGGUAGAGAUGGCGGUGUCAGAAUACUUAAAAAGGGCUCAAUACGAGGAAAGAGACAGGUGAACCAAUAGCAGCAAAUGUCAGGCCCUGCUUUGAGGACCUAGGUGAUGGUGAAGGCAGAUGGAGAGGUGAUGUGGCAGGCUAAGGUGUAUGGCAGGGUUGGCAGAGUCAUGUUACCAUGUUGGAGCCCUGUUAUACGCAGUGGAGGAAGGCGACCCCAUGCGAGAAUCGGUCACAUGCACGAUGGAACGGAGCAGCUGGCUGAUGCUUGCACAUGUAAAAAAGAUACCAGCAGCCCCUGUAGCCAACAUCGAUUUCUUAUCUGCAAGGGCUAAGAAGAGGAGGAUGGACCAGGCAGGUUGUACAAUGGAGCAGGCAACAUCAUCUCUGUCUUGGCCUCCCAUUGUUAUAGACAUGAAGCUGAUGCCAAACAGUAUGCAGAGGUCAUGUCCCUUGAACAUGAGAACUUUGUGGUCCAUGGCAGUGGCCUUCAGCUGAUGCCAAUUAGUCAUACAUAGGUGCCACACCUGAUGGGUUCCCUCAUUGUUACUCCUGGUGCAGGAGUCUGUGAGAUUAAGGAUGGACAGAGACCCCCGACCAAGCCGUUGUCCAUCUGUCACUGUUUCCGGUGGUGAGUAGGGUGAGCCUGAGUAGGCUAAUGCACUGCACGCAUCGAGGGAAGCCCUGCUGGUUUAAACCUGCACGCAGGGAGUGAGGGAAGAAGGGAGGGGGGAUAACGAGUGUAAUUUCGGUCUAAGAAG